rnacentral:rRNA from 1 species
AUUGAACGCUGGCGGCAUGCCUUACACAUGCAAGUCGAACGGCAGCACGGGUGCUUGCACCUGGUGGCGAGUGGCGAACGGGUGAGUAAUACAUCGGAACAUGUCCUGUAGUGGGGGAUAGCCCGGCGAAAGCCGGAUUAAUACCGCAUACGAUCUACGGAUGAAAGCGGGGGACCUUCGGGCCUCGCGCUAUAGGGUUGGCCGAUGGCUGAUUAGCUAGUGGGUGGGGUAAAGGCCUACCAAGGCGACGAUCAGUAGCUGGUCUGAGAGGACGACCAGCCACACUGGGACUGAGACACGGCCCAGACUCCUACGGGAGGCAGCAGUGGGGAAUUUUGGACAAUGGGCGAAAGCCUGAUCCAGCAAUGCCGCGUGUGUGAAGAAGGCCUUCGGGUUGUAAAGCACUUUUGUCCGGAAAGAAAUCCUUGGCCCUAAUACGGUCGGGGGAUGACGGUACCGGAAGAAUAAGCACCGGCUAACUACGUG